CACAGACCAGUCCACAGCAAAUUGUUCCCUUCAUAGUGUAAUUAAAAUACUAUCGUUACUUAAAAGUUCCAUUUUUCUACCUUUGCUGACCAGACUUGUUCUUGGGCUUGUGAUGUAACAGGUUUUCUGGGAAAACAUAUUUCAUGGUGCAUGGUGAGAAGGAAAGCACCCUAGAAUCCAGUCUUGACUCACCCUAAUGGAGCGUUUGAAAACACCUGGGAUGCAGGGAGAGGUUUUGCAGACUGAGCUAGCAAGCCCCUGUGCGAUUCCCUGUUCUAAAAGUCUUGAAUGCCUUGUUGCCUGAUGUAAAUCAUGUUCUUAUUUCUAGAUUGUAUUUAAAAUAUAUGUGUGAGUCAUGGAAGUCUAGUAAAUAUAUUUUUUCCCUAUGUUUAUCCUUAAUUUUAAAAAGUCUUUUCAUAAGCAGAUAAAGUACCUGCUGUGUCAGGCCUUAUUAAUACCUUCCAGUCAGUCACUCGGGAGAGAAAGACAACUAAUGCUUUCUGCCACUGAGAAUCCCUGGGUUGAGUGAAAGACUGGCUAUAAAAACCUAAAUUGUCAUAAACGAUGGGAAAUGCUGUUCAUAUGUUUAGUCUGGUGAUAACCCUGGACUGAUUGUUCUAUUUCAGGACUGUAUAUCCAUCUCAUAACAAUGCCGUGGCAAGCUUCUAGUUAGAGUCUUUCCGUUAUUUCCUAUGGGAAGAACUAUGUAACUAAUAUAUUUUGUUUUUGUUGGGUGUUGGGUUUUGUUUUCUAUAAUCAAAAUACCUGCAAAGCAGCAUUAAGAAUUACUGCCCACAAGAACAUGUAUUAUUAUCUAAUAGAGAAAGAAUUUGCAAAGAUUUGGGCCAUGUAGAUAAGGAUAAUGAGAUAGAUUAUCCUGGUCAUUUCUCUAAAUAUGAUGCAUUUUUUUCAGGUUGGAUGUAGAUUAAAGUGGAAUGGAAC
rnacentral:lncRNA from 1 species